rnacentral:snRNA from 1 species
UUGCUUCAGCAACCAUACUAAAAUUGGAAUGAUACAGAGAAGUCCAGCACGGCCUCUGUACAAGGAUGACACACACGUUCAUAAAACAUUUCAUGUGUUU